rnacentral:lncRNA from 1 species
GGUUUAUCAUGCCCAAAAACAAUUACAGUAGUAACACCAAAGAUCACUGAUUACAGAUGAGUAUAGCAUAUAUAAUAACAAUGAAAAAGGUUGAAAUAUUGCAAAAAACUACCAAAAUGUGACAGAGACAGGAAGUGAGCACCUGUAGACUUGCUCGAUGCCAUGUUGCCAUAAACCUUCAGUUUGUAAAAAAUGCAAUCUCUGCAAAGCACAAUAAAGCGAAGUGCAAUUAAAAUCAGCUAUGCCUGUAUAAAAAGUGCCCGGCAUAUGGGAGAUAACCCAUGUGUGGUACUUAUUAAUAUUGGUAGUUUUCAUGUGCUGCCCCCAGGAAUACAUAGAUAGAUUAACUCAAAUGAACUCUAAGGAAACUUACGUUAAGUCUUAUGUCUCUUUCCUCCAGAUGUCAUGGGAACAGACAUGUCUUGGAGAGGUGCACCCUGGGAUCUGUCCAAGAUCAGAAACUCUUGGAGCCAGCCCAGCCAGAGGUACUGCCCAAGGACUUGUUCUCCAAAGCUUCCAGUCAUGAAAGUGCUCAGCCCAAGCUCCCAGGGGCAACAGUUCUUGGUGUGAGGAACAUGGACUUGCCCUUCCCUCUGCACCAGCUUGACCUGGCCAGUUCCUUGUGGCUAACAGAGUGGACAUCUGUCACUGUCUGCCUGGGGCAGGGCGAAGACCAGGAGAUGUCUGAGGUAGAGGGGUCCUUGGUGGGGGGUGGGGGUGGGGUCUAGGCCAGUCAUCUAUGUGUUUAUGUUAAAGCAUUUACAUAUUUAUUUAUUUAUUUAUUUAUUUAUUUUUUGAGACCGAGUCUCGCCCUGUUGCCCAGGCUGGAGUGCAGUGGUGCAAUCUCGGCUCACUGCAACAUCCGCCUCC